AUUUGUAUAUAAUUUAGGCUAUUUUAUUUUAACGUCUUGUUUUUAAUACCAUCAAAUGACGGGACUUUCAGUAAGAAGACAUGUAGUGUAUGUCUUGAUUGAUGAAAGCUUACAUGUUAAGGACUUUAUCUAGCGAUUACGAUUUUCACAAAACGUGCAUACAUGACGUUUCACAACGUGCUGAUGUUAACCUCGAGCGUGAGCUCACGAUGACGUGUUUGACAGUUAGCCGGAAGUGAUGGUUUACAUGGUAAAAAGUUGAAUAUGUUAGUUUUCAUAUAUAUACGUAGAUGCCUCAUUAGCAUAUCUACGCUACACACCACAUACCUGCACACAUUCCGCGGAUGGAUUAUUUUUCUACAAAUCUCAUCUGGGUUGCCAUGAGGGUGUCCAGUAUAUCCAGGCAGACACAAACAAUCUCCUGUUAUGUGGUGACAGGAGGAGGGAUGUACACAUGGUGGACAUUGAUGGCUACACCUCUCUCCAAACUUUCCAGCACUGCACACUACAAAAAAGAAGAGAGCACUGUUUAAACCAGCUUUAAUGUGACCUGAUCUCUCAGAGAUGCCGAUGGAUGCACAGAUGGAGUUUUGCCGGACCUCAGAGAGAGCUCAGGCCAGCACUCACACAGGGAUUGGAUUUCGGUCAUGACACAACCUAAACUGAUGACACGUACCCUUUAGGGGUUAAGAAGAGGAAUCCAUCACAGAUACACACACUCAUGCAGAGCAUGUCGAGGAACUCA